CCAACUGAAAGGUCACUCCACGCUGACAUUUACUGCAAGGCAACGUUCUAAACUUUACAAGUAUCAAGUCAUUUUACCCUUGCCCAAGAUGCUGAGGAAGAUCAGCUCCAUCACCCUAAAUCAACAGAACCAGCCAUUCCGCCUUUAGGGCCGUAUCCCACGGAAAUACCUGAACAAGUUGCUGACGGCAGGCUGCGUGCCUAUAAGAGUCACAGGCCAUGGACUUCUAUGCACCUGUCAAAAGGAGUAAAGUCGUGACCUCACGGUUCGUGGGUUGGUACCCCGUGUCAGGCUUUGCAAUGACAGCGUGG